rnacentral:rRNA from 1 species
AUGAACCAAGUUUUGCAAAAGGAAUAUGUGGCAGCUGAGGUAAAGGAAGCGCUUUUCCAAAUGGCACCGUCCAAGGCUCCUGGAGUGGACGGUUUUACGGCAGGUUUCUACCAACGACAUUGGGACGUCCUUGGUGAUGAUAUUGCCCAAGCAGUUCUGGGAUUUCUAAACGGUGGUGAGCUACCGCUGGGACUUAAUGACACAGCUAUUACAUUGAUUCCUAAAGUCCGUAAUCCGCAGAAAAUUUCACAAUAUAGACCAAUUGCUCUAUGCCCGGUGCUUUAUAAGAUUGCUGUCAAGGUCGUGGCUAAUAGGCUUCGGCUUAUCCUUGAUGAUGUUAUAGGGGAGGAGCAAAGUGCUUUCGUACCGGGCCGUCUAAUAACGGACAACGUACUGGUUGCUUAUGAAUGUGUCCAUGCCAUUCGCGGAAGGAAAAAGGGCAACAAUGCAAGUUGUGCGAUCAAACUGGACAUGAAAGGCUACGACCGGGUGGAGUGGCACUACCUCGAAGCAAUGUUGUUCAGAUUGGGCUUAGGGGAUCGCUUUAUCCGACUCAUCAUGAAAUGUGUCACCUCCGUCUGGUUCACGAUCAAGGUGAAUGGGGAGCUCCUACCGUUCUUUGAUCCCACGAGGGGUCUCCGUCAGGGCUGCCCCAUGUCCCCAUACCUCUUCCUUAUUUGUGCACAAGGCCUCACUUCCCUCUUAAACCACUAUGGAGGUGCAUAUAUCGACAGAGGUGUUCGGGGAAGUAUACAUGCGCCUUGGGUUAAUCAUCUUUUCUUUGCUGACGACAGUCUCAUCUUCCUCAGUGCAAAUACCCAAAGUGCAGACAGGCUCAAUGAAAUUCUCCGGAUUUAUGCCGAGUGCUCGGGCCAGGCAGUUAACCGAGAAAAGAGCUUUAUUUUCUUCAGUGCAAACACAGGACAUCCCAGCAGAGAGAUCCUCAAAAACUCUCUCGGAAUUAUGGUGGAAGCGUUCUCCGAACGCUAUUUAGGGCUGCCUACUGCCAUCGGAAGAAUCACUAGCGGCACCUUCAACCACACCGGCGAUCGUGUGCGCAAUAAGAUAGGUGGAUGGUCUGAAAGGAACCUUGCGUGUGCAGGGAGGGAGGUCCUCAUAAAAACCGGUGCACAGGCCAUACCAACCUACAGCAUGAGCUGUUUUUUGUUGUCAAAGAAAGUAUGCAAGAGUAUCACGUCCCCCAUGGCUAAAUAUUGGUGGGGCAGCUCCCUCGACAAAAGAUCUAUGCAU